CUAUGCGCCUUGCCAGCCCCGCUCAGAAACUUAAAUGAAUUGACGGGGCCCGCACAAGCGGUGAGCAUGUGGUUUAAUUCGACGCAACGCGAAGAACCUUACCUGGGCUAGACAACGGUGGACCUCCCCAGAGAUGGGGAUUUCCCUUCGGGGACUGCCGGAUCAGGUGCUGCAUGGCUGUCGUCAGCUCGUGUCGUGAGAUGUUGGGUUAAGUCCCGCAACGAGCGCAACCCCCGCCUUUAGUUGCUACCAUUCAGUUGAGCACUCUAAAGGGACCGCCGGCGUUAAGCCGGAGGAAGGUGGGGAUGACGUCAAGUCCUCAUGGCCCUUAUGUCCAGGGCUACACACGUGCUACAAUGGGCGGUACAGAGGGUUGCCAACCCGCGAGGGGGAGCCAAUCCCAGAAAGCCGGUCUCAGUUCGGAUUGGAGUCUGCAACUCGACUCCAUGAAGUUGGAAUCGCUAGUAAUCGCGUAUCAGCAUGACGCGGUGAAUACGUUCCCGGGCCUU
rnacentral:rRNA from 1 species